rnacentral:lncRNA from 1 species
GAAAGGGUCAGGAAUGUUGACAGCAUGAUGCAUUUCAGAGACCACAAGAAUUUAGAUAUUGUAGGACUAUCAGGUGCAAGGUAGAAGAGGAAUAUGAAAGCAGCAAGCAGAGGCCAGAUCAUAAGGAACUGUGUCUGCCAUGCCAACGAGUUCAGACCUCACUAGUCGGUAAUGGGGUUGCCAGGGCAAGGGUUCUAAGCAAAAGACAGACUAAAUUAUCUUUCUAUUUUAGAAAGAUAACUUUGUCAGCUUAGGGAAUGCCAGAGCCUGAACUAAAGCCUAUGGCAGACGGAACAGGAAGAAGAUGAUUCACCGAAGAGAUAUCAGAGAAAUGCAACCAACCUAUGUGGUACCCUGGAAGAAGGAGAAACUGAAAGUUGGAUAAGUCUCAAGUUUCUAAAUUAGGAGGCUUUGUGGUUGAUGAUGCUACCAACGAGAUGGAGAGACUACAGAAGAGACUUAAGGAUGGAGGUCCACCUUCACACAAGCGGGAGUUUGGAGCUUCUAUGCCUGCAGAGUUUCUAUCUCCCAUAGCUAGCUAUGGGAGAGUAAAAAAAAAAAAAAGAAUCGAUGGAGAGAUACGUCCUCCCCAUGCCUUCAUGGUUUAUCAACAUCCUCCUUGAAAUGCAAAUCAAAACCACAAUGAGAUACCAUCUCACACCAGUCAGAAUGGCUAUUAAAAAGUCAACAAAUAACUUAUGUUGGUGAGGUUACAGAGAAAACAGAACAUUUAUAAACUUGAUGGGAGUAUAAAUUAAUUUAGCCAUUGUGGAAGACAGUGUGACAAUUCCUCAAAGAACUAAAAACGGAUAUACCAUUCAACCUAGCAAUCCUAUUACUGGGUUUAUACCCAAAGGCAUAUAAAAUUAUUCUGUUAUAAAGACACAUGUGUGUGUGUAUAUUCAUUGCAGCACCAUUCACAAUAACAGAGACACAGAAUCAACCUAAAUUCCUGUCAAUGUUAGACUGGAUAAAGAAAAUGUGGUACAUAUAUACCAUGGAAUACUAUGCAGCCAUAAAAAGAACAAGAUCAUGUCCUUUGCAGGAACAUGGAUGGAGCUGGAGGCCAUUAUCCUUAGCAAACUAAUUCAGGAACAGAAAACCAAAUGCCACAUGUUCUCACUUAUAAGGGGGAGCGAAAUGAUGAGAACUCAUGAACACAAAGAAGGGAACAACAGAUGCUAAGGUCUAUCAGAGAGUAGAAGUUGGGAGGAGAGAGAGGAUCAGGAAAAAUAACUAAUGGGUACUAGGCUUUAAUACUUGGGUAAUGAAAUAAUCUGUACAACAAACCCCCAUGACACAAGCGUACCUACGUAGCAAACCUGUACAUGUACCCCUGAACUUAACGUAAAAGUUAAAGAAAAUAAGACAUAAGUAGAGAUAAAAUUAACGACAAUAAUCAUAAAGUGAAAACUGAAAGCAAGAAAAAUCCAAAAUAAAAUCAUCCUCACCCUCCAUGGCUCAAAUCAAAUGCCAACUCCUUCACAAAGCCUCUCCUAAUAAAGCCAAAGUGACCUAUAUAUUGUUUAAGCCAAGGCCCCUCAUGUGGGAGUUUCUGUGGUCUUUAAUGAAUGAACUCUGAAAUUAUACAUGUUCUAAACACUUAUAUGCCCUGCUAAGUUCCAGGUUGAGGUGAAGUACUGUUU